rnacentral:rRNA from 1 species
GAUCAUGGCUCAGGACGAACGCUGGCGGCGCGCCUAACACAUGCAAGUCGAACGGAGCUUGAAGAGCUUGCUUUUUAAGCUUAGUGGCGAACGGGUGGGUAACGCGUGAGUAACCUGCCCUGGAGUGGGGGACAACAGUUGGAAACGACUGCUAAUACCGCAUAAGCCCACGGAUCUGCAUGGAUCUGCGGGAAAAGGAUUUAUUCGCUUCAGGAUGGACUCGCGUCCAAUUAGCUAGUUGG